UGCUAUACAUGCAGUCGAACGCUUCUUUCCUCCCGAGUGCUUGCACUCAAUUGGAAAGAGGAGUGGCGGACGGGUGAGUAACACGUGGGUAACCUACCCAUCAGAGGGGGAUAACACUUGGAAACAGGUGCUAAUACCGCAUAACAGUUUAUGCCGCAUGGCAUAAGAGUGAAAGGCGCUUUCGGGUGUCGCUGAUGGAUGGACCCGCGGUGCAUUAGCUAGUUGGUGAGGUAACGGCUCACCAAGGCCACGAUGCAUAGCCGACCUGAGAGGGUGAUCGGCCACACUGGGACUGAGACACGGCCCAGACUCCUACGGGAGGCAGCAGUAGGGAAUCUUCGGCAAUGGACGAAAGUCUGACCGAGCAACGCCGCGUGAGUGAAGAAGGUUUUCGGAUCGUAAAACUCUGUUGUUAGAGAAGAACAAGGACGUUAGUAACUGAACGUCCCCUGACGGUAUCUAACCAGAAAGCCACGGCUAACUACGUGCCAGCAGCCGCGGUAAUACGUAGGUGGCAAGCGUUGUCCGGAUUUAUUGGGCGUAAAGCGAGCGCAGGCGGUUUCUUAAGUCUGAUGUGAAAGCCCCCGGCUCAACCGGGGAGGGUCAUUGGAAACUGGGAGACUUGAGUGCAGAAGAGGAGAGUGGAAUUCCAUGUGUAGCGGUGAAAUGCGUAGAUAUAUGGAGGAACACCAGUGGCGAAGGCGGCUCUCUGGUCUGUAACUGACGCUGAGGCUCGAAAGCGUGGGGAGCAAACAGGAUUAGAUACCCUGGUAGUCCACGCCGUAAACGAUGAGUGCUAAGUGUUGGAGGGUUUCCGCCCUUCAGUGCUGCAGCAAACGCAUUAAGCACUCCGCCUGGGGAGUACGACCGCAAGGUUGAAACUCAAAGGAAUUGACGGGGGCCCGCACAAGCGGUGGAGCAUGU
rnacentral:rRNA from 1 species